rnacentral:lncRNA from 1 species
UCCCGGAGGAGACCUCGUCGCUGUCUGCAACUGCCUGAAAGCAGAUCGUAGCGAGGUUGAGGGCGGCCUCCGCUCCCAGGUAACAGCGAUAGCACGAGAGGCGAUGGCCUCGUGUUGCACCAGGGGAGGUUCAGGUUGGACGUUAGGAACAACCUCUCCAAAAGGAUGGUGAUGCACUGACACGGGCUGCCCAGGGAGGCGGUGGUCACUGCCUCUGGAGAUGAUCUGUUAGCCCAUAUUCAGCAACACAAAGGGCACGUGAUGGAAACAUUGUGCCUCUCCAGCACAGAUAUGCCUCCGAGGUUGGGAUGCUGCGGGGCGUGUGGGCUCAGUUCUCCGGGGCGGGGGAGACAGCAGUGGAUGCAAAGGGCGCACCCAUUGCCAUCAGCCUCCCGCUGCUUCCCCGCACUGCAGCCCAACUCCACACCUCCACCGCAACAGCCGGGCACCCCCACGGCUCAGAGCUGCUGUCCGAGCAAACGAUAACUCCUGUUGUUGUGCGGGGUUCUCCGCAACAGACGAAUUCAACGGCGGAGCUCUGCACAAAGGCUUUUCCUGAGCGCUGUGGCUCUGUGCCCAUCGCCCUCCCGGGGGACACAGGGCAGGGAGGUGAGCUCCAGCCCGGCCUGCAGCCGCUGCACAAACACAAACCCGCCUGGCAGCCCCCGUGUGCCCACGGCUUCCCUUAGUGCAGCCAUCCCAUAUCGCUGGGCAGAGGCAGCCCACAGCCCCGCAGCCCUCGAGCAUCACAGCCAUCAUUGCUGCAGCGUUUUGCAGAUGGGUCACUGCCUGCGAGGAGACCAAGAGCUGCACCCGGGUGAGCUCUGCAGACGAUGUGGGUGCAUGCAGCAACACGCACGUGGGGCUUUUUGGAGGUGAAGGGCCGCUGUACGCCCUUCUGCUCUGCACAGCGCGCAGACGAAAACGCACUCCUGAGAACAAACAAGCUCAGCGCGAGCAGCUCCCACCCGAAACCGCAGCGCUGGGGGAGUGAAAGUGCAGCAGCGGGGCAGGGAGGGCAGCACCUCCAUGGGGAGAGAGAAUGGCAAAGGGCAGCGCGGUGCCCUCGGAUCCCGGAGCAAUGCCCUGCGAGGUGCAGGUGAGCCCAGCAGGGCUGUGGCGAU